rnacentral:lncRNA from 1 species
GAUAUACAAACAUUUUUUUUAUAUUUUUAAAUAUCUUUUAAUCAGUUAUUAUUAGUAUGAUAGUUGAUGUAAACUUUAGUAUAGUAAGGAUAGAAAAAUUGUAUAACAAGAAUAAGAUUCUACUUUGAAGUUUUAACUUUUUUGAAUUUAAUUUAAAAUGUAAAAGAUAUAGAAAUAUGGAAAAGAUAUGAUUACUAAUAAACAAGGAACCCCAAAAGAUUAGAAGUACUAGAAUUACAUACAACAUGAAACCAACAUCUACCACUGGACAGCAGGAUUUUUUGCAUUAUGAAAAUGAAAUGGAUUUAAUUAGUAUAUUUAAAGAGUACAUUUUAUAGCUGACUAUGCGGUAUGGGCUUUGCUCAUUGUUGAAGGCCAUACAGUGACCAAUCAUUGUUAAUUUCUGUGUCAUUUUUGUCUCUUGUAGAGAGUUGUCUCAUUGGCAAUCAUACCACAUCUUCUUUUUAUGCCCCACCUACGAUAGUAGAGGGGCAUUAUGUUUUCUGCUCUGUGCCUCUGUUCAUCCGUGCGUCCGUUCAGGUUAAAGUUUUUGGUCAAGGUGGUUUUUGAUGAAGUUGAAGUCACAUCAACUUGAAACUUAGCACACAUGUUCCCUAUGAUAUGAUCUUUCUAAUUUUAAUUUCAAAUUAAAGUUUUGACCCCAAUUUCACAGUCCACUGAACAUGGAAAAUUAUAGUGUGAGUGGGGCAUCCGUGUACUAUGGACACAUUCUUGUUUUAUAUUGUAUUAAAAGAUAUUAAAAAAAUGCAAUUUGAUUUUUCAACAAACCAUUUGAUAACCAAUAUAUAAGAACGAGGCAGUGGAAAAAUGAAUUAAGUUAUAGUCUAACUAAUAUUGAAUGUUUGUUUGAGGCAUUUUAAAAUAUAUUUAUAAAAGUCAAGACCAUCAUUAUGAAUGUUGAUGAUGGAUAGCCACACUGAAAGGAAGAAUGAAACAGAAAAUAAACUGGAAAGCAAAUUAUUUGUGAAUUUAGAAAUAUUCAUUUAAACUAAACAGUUACGAUGUAUGAAGUGUACUAAGUUAAUAUUGUUUUUGUUACUGUAAUUUAAAAAUUGUGAUAGGGUACACAUUUCUGUAGUUGAAAGUAUCAUUUGAAUUUGUUGUAAUGUACUUCUAAAACAUGUACUGGAAUUGAAGUUGUAAAUCUCCCAUUAUGGUCCAUUCUAAAAUAGUUGCAAUGAUAAAUGUACUGUUAAUUCAGAAAUUAUUGAGAGGUUUUUAUUAUUGCAAAAUAUGUUACAAGGUUAUAAUCGAAAUAUUUUAAACUCCCAAUUUUUUUUUAUAUGAAUUAAACAUGACUUUUCUCAAUAUCGCAAAAUUUAAAAUCACAUUUCAGUCUUAAAUAUCAAAAUCACAAUAAUAAAUGCACACAAUAAUUUCUGAAUAUAUAGUACAUGUAUGUAUUAAAUACAGAAUUUAUAGUGUUUUAUAAAAACAGACAUGUAUUAUUUUUUUUUAUUUGAUAUGGUUGCAGGGUGGAAUAGGAAAACCAACCAAAUUUAUUAUAACAUUAUAUCAUAGAAUAUUGUGAAAACAAUUAACUUCCAAAAGUAGUUUACAUCACUAGUAGAGCAAAUUGAAAUUGUUAUUACUGAGGGGGGUGGGGGUGGGUGUAGAAGGGGUCCUGAUCCUGAAAUCCUGGGGCUUAAAAAUAUGAAAUCCUUAAAAAACUUACAUCCUAGAAUCCUGGAUACUGUAAUUGGAAAAAAGAAUUUCCGGAUCCCGAAAGGGUCAAUCCCGAACCCCUGAGCUCAAAAACACCUGAUCCCGGAGUCCCUAUAAAGGUCCUAUUCCCGCUCAUUACUAUGUCAAACUUUGAUUUGACAUUAUCAAAUCACAAAAAUAAAUUUGAACAAAAGGACUAAAAGAUAAUUAAAAUAAAAGUAUUGUGGAUUUUCUGUUGGAUAUAAAAAAGAAGAUGUGGUAUGAUUGGAUACCAAUUUUAUAACUUUCAUGAUUUAAGAUGAACCAUGAGUAUUUGUGCAAUGAAAAUUCUGUAGGCAUGUGUGCAGACUUUGGUAAAACCAAAGAAUUAAAUAUCCAUGAAAUAUUUAUAGAUAAUCGUUGAUGAUCUCAAUGAAAAAAGCAAUCAAGUUGAGAUGACCAAUAAUAAUCUCUUUAUAGCUAUUUUACCUAUGACGAAGUUGUCAAUUUCAAGACAAUUUCAUUAGCAACGCCACAGGCCUCCUUAGUUUCUAGCAAUAAUUUUACAUCUCUAGCAGGUAGCAUAAUAUGAAAAAUUAUCACAAAAAAAGAUCAAAGGAAAAAUGCACAAAAUAGUGAUAAAUGUAUUAUCUUUAAUUCAUGCAAAUUGAUAUAAUCAAUAUAAUUGGAAAAAUAAGUUUGUUUCAAACAUUAGUUCAGAUUGUUCUUAUUAUAAUAACAUGCACAGGAAUCAAAUAAUUAACCUUGCUAAUAUAGUCAACAGAGAUUUACAAAUUUUAAUUCAGGUACAAGUUUCUGAGUUAAAAUUUUUAUAUGUAAAAUUUUAGUGUCAUUCCAUAAUGUCUUGAUCAAUCAUUUAACACCUCUUUGAUAAUCAUACCUCAUAUUCUUAUUUUUAUUGUGGGUCUCAUUGGGUUUGAAGUGUGGCACAAGAUUGGGUGACUUUUUUGUAAGCGUGACAUGUGAAAGUUAAACCUUCCCAAUAAGAUCCCUAUUAUAUUGUAAAUGGUUGUUGGUAAAGGGCUAAGUAAAUACAUUUAUCCUGAUUUAGAGUAAUUUCUCGCAAUUUGAUUGGCUGAUAUUGUUCUAAUAAAUUUCAGUACAAUUUUUUAUCACGUCAAUUGGAAUUAUCUCCCUUAUUUAUUACGUCAAUUGGAAUUAUCUCCCUUAUACCAUUGACCUAAUAAAAAAACAAAAAACAAUUGAGUUGCUUUGUAGUCAUAAUAUUUUUUUAUUUUUCACAUUUUUUUAUUUAAUAUCUAAAAUAUAUUUAUUGAUAUUGUCCUAAUAUUGAAUUUGAAUAUAAUAAUAUGUAAUAUAACAAAAUCAGGAUAAAUUCGUUACACAGUGUUCAAUUGUCCUAAUACGGAAUUUAUCGGUUCAAUAAAAUUCAUAUCGGGUUUGGCUUCGCCUCACCCGAUAUGAAUUUUAUUGACCCGAUAAAUUCUCGUAUUAGGACAAUUGCACACUGUGUAACUAAUAGUAUCAUUUAAGUUGUCAUAUGUUAUUAUUGUUUAUGAUCUCGUACAUACCUCCAUUUUCAAGCAUGAAAAAUAUUUGUUGAUUAUUAAAAUUAAAUCAGUUAUUCAUAAUAAUGUUAAUAAGAAAUGUUAUUUUUCAAUUCAGAAAAUUUGGUCUUAUUAUGGAAAUGUUUUUGUAUCAGAUUUUAUUGAUUAAAAGGGACUGGAUUUACAAGAAUAAUGAAACUAUGUAAAAUAUCAUACCAUGGAGGAAUAUUAAUUUCUAAUUUACUUUGUGUGUUCUGGCCAUGAAGUCAGUUUUUUGUACUCAUACUCCAACAUCAACAGAUCAAAUUGCCGGAUUUCAUGUUUCAAGCAUGAUUUUUGUGCUCCAAGCACUGAUCAAUGUUUUAUGAUGGCAAAAUCUGACGUCCUUCAAGUUAAGAAAGGGUAAUUUAAGACAAGACAAUAUGUAUGCUUACUCGAGGAAAGAUUCUCAAGAGUACCACUUAAUUCUAAAUUGACACAUGUCUUUUUACAGGGCAUCUCACUUUUAAAAUUUUCUUGUAAAUUUCCAUCAUUUGACAAAAUACAUGAACAACUUUUGACCUGUAGAAGACUAUUUUGAUGUCAAAUUUUCUUUAUGUCUCAAUAAUUUAAUUUUGGAUAUAACACGUCUUCUGAUUGGCUGACGUUGUUUUGUUUAUCAGCUCAUAGACACAAUUUUAUCAUGUGACUGUGACGUCAUCAAUGUUUUUUCAUGGUUUACUCUGGUUUAAAAUGGAAUUUAGAAUAAAAUUAUGAGAAAUGACUGUAAUAUUUUUUCUGUCUAUUUGAAAUAACAUAAAAAAUGUGGUGCACACUUUAAAAUAACCCGCUACAAUGGUUCUUCAGUGUGCACCACAUUUUUGUUGUUAUUUUUCAUAGACAGAAAAAAUAUUACAGUCAUUCCUUAAUUGUUUCACAACUCAUUCUUUUUAUUAAAACUUACUCAACAUAUAUCAAAUAAACAUGACAUACUGUAAUUCAUGUACAAUCAUCACACCUGACAACAUUGAACAGGUAAAAGUGUACUGGCCAUGGAUGGGUUGACUAAUUUUCUAUAUAUUGAAAUGCUAAAACAUAUUUCCUGUACUAUAACAUUAUAAGUAAAAUCUGAAUAUUUAACAAUCAUUAUAAAACUGACCUAAUUUAUGUUGCAAUCAUCAUGAACUUUGACCUAAUUUAAGUUAUUCAUUACUAUGACGACCUGACCUGAUGUAGUACAUCAUCCCGGUCAUUACUGUUUUGUUUAUUGUCUUGUUUGGAAUAAAAUUUGAAUCUUCACAA